rnacentral:rRNA from 1 species
GAUGAACGCUGGCGGCGUGCUUAACACAUGCAAGUCGAACGAUGAAGCCCAGCUUGCUGGGUGGAUUAGUGGCGAACGGGUGAGUAACACGUGAGUAACCUGCCCUUGACUCUGGGAUAAGCCUGGGAAACUGGGUCUAAUACUGGAUAUGACUUCUCAUCGCAUGGUGGGGGGUGGAAGGUUUUAUUGGUCUUGGAUGGACUCGCGGCCUAUCAGCUUGUUGGUGAGGUAAUGGCUCACCAAGGCGACGACGGGUAGCCGGCCUGAGAGGGUGACCGGCCACACUGGGACUGAGACACGGCCCAGACUCCUACGGGAGGCAGCAGUGGGGAAUAUUGCACAAUGGGCGCAAGCCUGAUGCAGCGACGCCGCGUGAGGGAUGACGGCCUUCGGGUUGUAAACCUCUUUCAGUAGGGAAGAAGCGAGAGUGACGGUACCUGCAGAAGAAGCGCCGGCUAACUACGUG